rnacentral:rRNA from 1 species
CACGUAGUUAGCCGGCGCUUCUUUACCCACUACCCUCACCACAACCCACGUUGCGGCUUGACCACGGGCGAAAGAGGUUCACAACCCGAAGGCCUCCAUCCCUCACGCGGCGUCGCUGCAUCAGGCUUGCGCCCAUUGUGCAAUAUUCCCCACUGCUGCCUCCCGUAGGAGUCUGGGCCGUAUCUCAGUCCCAAUGUGACCGGUCACCCUCUCAGGCCGGCUACCCGUCAAAGCCUUGGUAGGCCAUCACCCCACCAACAAGCUGAUAGGCCGCGAGCCCAUCCCCCACCAGAAAAAACCUUUCCACCAACCCCCAUGCGAGGACCAGUGAAUACCCGGUAUUAGCAGCCCUUUCAGACCGUUAUCCCGAAGAAGAGGGCAGGUUACUCACGUGUUACUCACCCGUUCGCCACUCAUCCACCCAACACAAAGCCAGGCUUCAGCGUUCGACUUGCAUGUGUUAAGCACGCCGCCAGCGUCGUCCUCGAGCCACGGAGUCAAACUA